rnacentral:rRNA from 1 species
GACGGAGGAGGCUAGCGUUGUUCGGAAUUACUGGGCGUAAAGCGCACGCAGGCAGCCAAGCAAGUCGGAUGUGAAAGCCCGGGGCUCAACCCCGGAGGUGCGUCCGGGACUGCAUGGCUCGAGUCCGGGAGAGGAGAGCGGAAUUCCCAGUGUAGAGGUGAAAUUCGUAGAUAUUGGGAAGAACACCAGUGGCGAAGGCGGCUCUCUGGCCCGGUACUGACGCUCAUGUGCGAAAGCGUGGGGAGCAAACAGG